rnacentral:rRNA from 1 species
GACGAACCGUGCGAACGUUAUUCGGAUUCACUGGGCUUAAAGGGCGCGUAGGCGGGCCAUCAAGUCCGGGGUGAAAUACUUCGGCUCAACCGGAGAACAGCCUUGGAUACUGAUGGUCUCGAGGGAGAUAGGGGUGCGUGGAACUUCCGGUGGAGCGGUGAAAUGCGUAGAUAUCGGAAGGAACGCCGGUGGCGAAAGCGGCGCACUGGAUCUCUUCUGACGCUGAGGCGCGAAAGCUAGGGGAGCGAACGGG